CGAGCGAACGGGGACGAGCCUAAACCUCUUCAGUGCAAGCAUGCUGGCGUUGCUGAAGUGGGGUCGUGGGAUUCUGUAGAGAGGUCGGCAUACCUCUCGUCGAGUUACAAAGGACCGAGCUAGCCGAACGGUAUUGGACGGCCGGCCACAGCGGGUGAUAGCCCCGUAGGCGAAAGCGAGGUCUCUCGAUCAGAACACCCGAGUACCGCAGGACACGUGUAAUCCGGCGGGAAUCUGGGAGGACCAUCUUCCAAGGCUAAGUACUACUGAUCGACCGAUAGUGAACUAGUACCGCGAGGGAAAGGUGAAAAGAACCCCGGUUAGGGGAGUGAAAUAGUACCUGAAACCGUGUGCCUACAAGCAGUGGGAGCGCUAUGCCCGCAAGGGAAGGCGUCACCACGUACCUUUUGCAUAAUGGGCCUGCGAGUUACCGUGUGUGGCAAGGUUAAGCCGG
rnacentral:rRNA from 1 species